rnacentral:rRNA from 1 species
GACGAACGCUGGCGGCGUGCUUAACACAUGCAAGUCGAACGGAGCUAUUUAUUUCGGUAAAUCGCUUAGUGGCAAACGGGUGAGUAACGCGUAGGCAACCUGCCCUCAGGAUGGGGACAACGGCUCGAAAGAGCCGCUAAUACCGAAUGACGUAACUCUUCCACAUGGAAGAGAUACUAAAGAUGGGUCAAACCAUCGCCUAAGGAUGGGCCUGCGUCUGAUUAGCCAGUUGGUGAGGUAACGGCUCACCAAAGCGACGAUCAGUAGCCGGUCUGAGAGGAUGAACGGCCACAAUGGGACUGAGACACGGCCCAUACUCCUACGGGAGGCAGCAGUGGGGAAUCUUCCGCAAUGGGCGAAAGCCUGACGGAGCAACGCCGCGUGAGUGAAGAAGGUCUUCGGAUCGUAAAGCUCUGUUGUCGGGGACGAAAGGGUAGACGAGGUAAUGCGUUUACUAAGACGUACCCGACGAGGAGCCAC